rnacentral:rRNA from 1 species
UACGAGGGGGGCAAGCGUUGUUCGGAAUUAUUGGGCGUAAAGGGCGCGUAGGCGGUGCGGUAAGUCUGAUGUGAAAUCUCCGGGCUCAACUCGGAGUCUGCAUCAGAAACUGCCGUGCUCGAGUGUGGGAGAGGUGAGUGGAAUUUCCGGUGUAGCGGUGAAAUGCGUAGAUAUCGGAAGGAACACCUGUGGCGAAAGCGGCUCACUGGACCAUUACUGACGCUGAGGCACGAAAGCUAGGGGAGCAAACAGG